rnacentral:rRNA from 1 species
GAUGAACGCUGGCGGCGUGCCUAAUACAUGCAAGUAGAACGCUGAAGGAAGGAGCUUGCUCUUUCCGGAUGAGUUGCGAACGGGUGUGUAACGCGUAGGUAACCUGCCUGGUAGCGGGGGAUAACUAUUGGAAACGAUAGCUAAUACCGCAUAACAGUAGAUGUUGCAUGAUAUCUACUUAAAAGGUGCAAUUGCACCACUACCAGAUGGACCUGCGUUGUAUUAGCUAGUUGGUGAGGUAACGGCUCACCAAGGCGACGAUACAUAGCCGACCUGAGAGGGUGAUCGGCCACACUGGGACUGAGACACGGCCCAGACUCCUACGGGAGGCAGCAGUAGGGAAUCUUCGGCAAUGGACGGAAGUCUGACCGAGCAACGCCGCGUGAGUGAAGAAGGUUUUCGGAUCGUAAAGCUCUGUUGUAAGAGAAGAACGAGUGUGAGAGUGGAAAGUUCACACUGUGACGGUAUCUUACCAGAAAGGGACGGCUAACUACGUG